UAAGAAGUAUUAUAAAUAAUAUUUUUCAUUUACAUUGAAACGAUGGCUAUAUGUGCGCCCUUCUUAA
rnacentral:tRNA from 1 species